rnacentral:rRNA from 1 species
AUUGAACGCUGGCGGCAUGGCUAAAAACAUGCAAGUCGAACGAGCCCGCAAGGGCAAGUGGCGAAAGGGUUAGUAAUACGAUCGAAUGUACCCUGAGGUGGCGGAUAGUCGUGGGAAACUGCAGGUAAUACGUCAUGAUCUCUCCGGAGCAAAGAUUUAUCGCCUUGGGAGCAGCGAUCGUCCUAUCAGGUAGUUGGCGGGGUAAUGGCCCACCAAGCCGAAGACGGGUAGCGGGUGUGAGAGCACGGCCCGCAACAUCGGAACUGAGACACUGUCCGGACUCCUACGGGAGGCUGCAGUAACGAAUCUUCCGCAAUGGGCGAAAGCCUGACGGAGCAAUGCCGCGUGUGGGAUGAAGCGCCUUCGGCGUGUAAACCACUGUCAGGGAACGGAACCAAUGAUUGUUCCCAAAGGAAGUGGCGACUAACUCUGUGCCAGCAGCCGCGGUAAAUCGUGUGAA